UUCAUCCUACGGGAGGCAGCAGUGAGGAAUAUUGGUCAAUGGCCGAGAGGCUGAACCAGCCAAGUCGCGUGAGGGAUGACGGCCCUACGGGUUGUAAACCUCUUUUGUCGGGGAGCAAGACCCGCCACGAGUGGCGGAGCGAGAGUACCCGAAGAAAAAGCAUCGGCUAACUCCGUGCCAGCAGCCGCGGUAAUACGGAGGAUGCGAGCGUUAUCCGGAUUUAUUGGGUUUAAAGGGUGCGCAGGCGGCGAGUUAAGUCAGCGGUAAAAUUUCGGGUCUCAACCCCGACGAGCCGUUGAAACUGG
rnacentral:rRNA from 1 species